UACAGAGGCUGCGAGCGUUAUUCGGAUUCACUGGGCGUAAAGGGUGCGCAGGCGGUCGAUCAAGUCGAGUGUGAAAGCCCCCGGCUCAACUGGGGAGGGUCAUUCGAUACUGAUCGACUCGAAGGCAGGAGAGGGUAGUGGAAUUCCCGGUGUAGUGGUGAAAUGCGUAGAUAUCGGGAGGAACACCAGUGGCGAAGGCGACUACCUGGCCUGUUCUUGACGCUGAGGCGCGAAAGCUAGGGGAGCAAACGGG
rnacentral:rRNA from 1 species